rfam:Drosophila sechellia strain Rob3c scaffold_496 genomic scaffold, whole genome shotgun sequence.
AGGUUUUUGUUCUGUACGUAGGCAUAAUUCUAGGCAUAAUUAUGAAUCGUGCAUGCCAUCUACGGUACGGUAGGUGGUAUCUUUAGAAGAUUUUAUUUUCCU